rfam:Microlunatus soli strain DSM 21800 genome assembly, chromosome: I
GUCGGUCCCCCGCGUGGCGAUAUCUUGCCCAACUCCCCCAGGGUCGGAAGGCAGCAAGGGUAAGCGAGCUCUUUCGGGUACGCGGGGGGCUUUUUCA